UACGGAAGGCAGCAGUGGGGAAUAUUGCACAAUGGGCGAAAGCCUGAUGCAGCUAUGCCGCGUGUAUGAAGAAGGCCUUAGGGUUGUAAAGUACUUUCAGCAGGGAGGAAAGAAAUAAAACUAAUAAUUUUAUUUUGUGACGUUACCUGAAGAAGAAGCACCGGCUAACUCCGUGCCAGCAGCCGCGGUAAUACGGAGGGUGCAAGCGUUAAUCAGAAUUACUGGGUGUAAAGAGCGCGUAGGUGGUUUUUUUAAGUCAGAUGUGAAAUCCCUAGGCUUAACCUAGGAACUGCAUUUUGAAACUGAAAAACUAGAGUAUCGUAGAGGGAGGUAGAAUUCUAGGUGUAGCGGUGAAAUGCGUAGAUAUCUGGAGGAAUACCUGUGGCGAAAGCGGCCUCCUAAACGAAUACUGACACUGAGGUGCGAAAGCGGUGGGGAGCAAACAGGGAUUAGAUACC
rnacentral:rRNA from 1 species